rnacentral:tRNA from 1 species
GGUCCUGCACCUCAGCAGGAUAGAGCAUCAGAUUCCUAUCUGGGGGUCGCGCGUUCGAAUCGCGCCGGGAUGACCA